rnacentral:rRNA from 1 species
GAUGAACGCUGGCGGCGUGCCUAAUACAUGCAAGUCGAGCGAACGGACGAGAAGCUUGCUUUUCUGAUGUUAGCGGCGGACGGGUGAGUAACACGUGGAUAACCUACCUAUAAGACUGGGAUAACUUCGGGAAACCGGAGCUAAUACCGGAUAAUAUUUUGAACCGCAUGGUUCAAAAGUGAAAGACGGUCUUGCUGUCACUUAUAGAUGGAUCCGCGCUGCAUUAGCUAGUUGGUAAGGUAACGGCUUACCAAGGCAACGAUGCAUAGCCGACCUGAGAGGGAGAGCGGCCACGGUGGAACUGAGACACGGUCCAGACACCUACGGGAGGCAGCAGUGGCGAAUCUGCCGCAAUGGGCGAAAGCCUGACGGAGCAACGCCGCGUGAGUGAGGAAGGUCUUCGGAUCGUAAAACUCUGUUAUUAGGGAAAAACAUAUGUGUAAGUAACUGUGCACAUCUAGACGGUACCUAAUCAGAAAGCAACGGCUAACUACGU